rfam:Gossypium arboreum cultivar AKA8401 contig_20566_5, whole genome shotgun sequence.
AAUAAGAGAAUGACAAAUCAGAUUUUUCCUCCUCAUUUUUAGUAUUUUCUUCUUGACAAAAUUCAACUAAAAAUGCUAAAAAUAAAGAGUAAAAAGCUGAUUUGCCAUUCUCCUAUU